GACGAACGCUGGCGGCGUGCUUAACACAUGCAAGUCGAACGGAAAGGCCCUGCUUUUGUGGGGUGCUCGAGUGGCGAACGGGUGAGUAACACGUGAGUAACCUGCCCUUGACUUUGGGAUAACUUCAGGAAACUGGGGCUAAUACCGGAUAGGAGCUCCUGCUGCAUGGUGGGGGUUGGAAAGUUUCGGCGGUUGGGGAUGGACUCGCGGCUUAUCAGCUUGUUGGUGGGGUAGUGGCUUACCAAGGCUAUGACGGGUAGCCGGCCUGAGAGGGUGACCGGCCACAUUGGGCCUGAGAUACGGCCCAGACUCCUACGGGAGGCAGCAGUGGGGAAUAUUGCACAAUGGGCGGAAGCCUGAUGCAGCAACGCCGCGUGCGGGAUGACGGCCUUCGGGUUGUAAACCGCUUUCGCCUGUGACGAAGCGUGAGUGACGGUAAUGGGUAAAGAAGCACCGGCUAACUACGUG
rnacentral:rRNA from 1 species